UCACUCUUGUUUUUCUUCAGAUCGUAUAAAUCUUUCGCCUUUUACUAAAGAUUUCCGUGGAGAGGAACGUUAUGAGUUUCAAUUAAUUUUUGGAUGCCCUGUGUUUAACGGGGCU
ensembl:snRNA U5 U5 spliceosomal RNA